rnacentral:rRNA from 1 species
AAAUUGAAGAGUUUGAUCAUGGCUCAGAUUGAACGCUGGCGGCAGGCCUAACACAUGCAAGUCGAACGGUAACAGAAAGAAGCUUGCUUCUUUGCUGACGAGUGGCGGACGGGUGAGUAAUGUCUGGGAAACUGCCUGAUGGAGGGGGAUAACUACUGGAAACGGUAGCUAAUAC